GGCGGAUGUAGCCAAGUGGAUCAAGGCAGUGGAUUGUGAAUCCACCAUGCGCGUCGGGCAUGGUGGAUGAACGUACUGCUC
rnacentral:tRNA from 1 species